rfam:Mus musculus chromosome 3, GRC primary reference assembly.
CCUGCCUCUAGAGGUGUUGCAGGAGUGGCUGCUGUGUCAUAGGUGCAUCAAUAGGUGGCAGAGAGGAGAAAGGCUAUGUCUAUGCUGUGUUCUGACCUGUGAACAUCUGAAUGAUUGGUACCCUAACCCU